AUACGGAGGAUGCGAGCGUUAUCCGGAUUUAUUGGGUUUAAAGGGUGCGCAGGCGGCCAUUUAAGUCAGCGGUUAAAUCGUGGGGCUCAACCCCAUUCUGCCGUUGAUACUGGGUGGCUUGAUUGCGGUCGAGGUUGGCGGAAUUCGUUGUGUAGCGGUGAAAUGCAUAGAUAUGACGAAGAACACCGAUUGCGUAGGCAGCUGACCAGACCGCAAAUGACGCUCAUGCACGAAAGUGCGGGGAUCGAACAGGAUUAGAUACCCUGGUAGUCCGCACAGUAAACGAUGAAUACUUGUUUUCGGCGAUAUAAUGUCGGAGGCAGAGCGAAAGCGAUAAGUAUUCCACCUGGGGAGUACGCCGGCAACGGUGAAACUCAAAGGAAUUGACGGGG
rnacentral:rRNA from 1 species